rnacentral:rRNA from 1 species
CCUACGGGAGGCUGCAGUGAGGAAUAUUGGUCAAUGGCCGCGAGGCUGAACCAGCCAAGUAGCGUGAGGGAUGAAUGUCCUACGGAUUGUAAACUUCUUUUAUCAAGGAGCAAAGUCACCCACGUGUGGGUGUUGGAGAGUACCUUAUGAAAAAGCAUCGGCUAACUCCGUGCCAGCAGCCGCGGUAAUACGGAGGAUGCGAGCGUUAUCCGGAUUUAUUGGGUUUAAAGGGUGCGUAGGCGGGUUAUCAAGUCAGUGGGAAAAUUGUGGGGCUCAACGGAAUCGUGCCGUUGAAACUGGUGAUCUUGAGUGGGCGUGAGGUAUGCGGAAUUCGUGGUGUAGCGGUGAAAUGCAUAGAUAUCACGAAGAACUCCGAUUGCGAAGGCAGCAUAC